rnacentral:rRNA from 1 species
UGAACGCUGGCGGCAGGCCUAACACAUGCAAGUCGAACGAGGUAGCAAUACCUAGUGGCGGACGGGUGAGUAACGCGUGGGAACGUGCCCCUUGGUACGGAAUAGCCCCGGGAAACUGGGAGUAAUACCGUAUGAGCUCGAAAGAGGAAAGAUUUAUCGCCAAGGGAUCGGCCCGCGUUGGAUUAGGUAGUUGGUGGGGUAAUGGCCUACCAAGCCGACGAUCCAUAGCUGGUUUGAGAGGAUGAUCAGCCACACUGGGACUGAGACACGGCCCAGACUCCUACGGGAGGCAGCAGUGGGGAAUCUUAGACAAUGGGGGAAACCCUGAUCUAGCCAUGCCGCGUGAUCGAUGAAGGCCUUAGGGUUGUAAACCGCUUUCAGCAGGGAAGAAGCGAAAGUGACGGUACCUGCAGAAGAAGCACCGGCUAACUAUGUGCCAGCAG